CUUCUUCUCUUUCUCUGGACCGGUCCUAGCACUUGGAGCAGCCCCAGCCUCUCGCAGUACCCGUUCUUGGUCAUAAACAGCCUUAGUGCCUGGCUACUCAAAGUUUGGCAGCAGGCCAAGGUCAGUGACUGCUUUGCUAGACUUAGAAGUUCAAGCAUGGGGUAUUACGUAAAUAUUGAGAAUAUUGCUGUUCAAAUUCUCAAAAGCAAGUUGUUGGUCGUAUUUCAAAUCUUGCAGCUGAAGAUGGCACUUCUGCCAAGCUACUACACAGUUUAAAAAGUGAUGUUUCUGAAUAAACUCCACCUUCCAACGAUGCCUUCUAAAUUAAAUAGUAUAAACAGAAGACAGCAGAUACUGACUCUACUGGGCCUCUCCAAGUAAUCUGGAAAAGAAACUUAGGUACUCAAAAACCCUUUAGUACAAUUCAAGAACUACAGUACCAAUUUAUGUCACAAAAUAAAUGUUGAGAUUUAUAAUAAUAUAAAUGUGUGUGUUUAUGAAUGCUUA